rnacentral:rRNA from 1 species
UUGGGAGGCUUUGUCUUUCCAGUAAUGCAGCUAACGCCUUAAGCAUCCCGCCUGGGGAGUACGGUCGCAAGAUUAAAACUUAAAGGAAUAGACGGGGACCCGCACAAGCGGUGGAGCAUGUGGUUUAAUUCGAAGAUACACGAAGAACCUUACCUAGGCUUGACAUUGAAGGAAUUCCCUAGAAAUAGGGGAGUGUCUAGCUUGCUAGACCCUGAAAACAGGUGCUGCACGGCUGUCGUCAGCUCGUGUCGUGAGAUGUUGGGUUAAGUCCCGCAACGAGCGCAACCCUUUUUCUUAGUUGCUAACAGGUUAUGCUGCGCACUCUAAGAAGACUGCCUGCGUAAGCAGGAGGAAGGUGAGGACGACGUCAAGUCAUCAUGGCCCUUACGCCUAGGGCUACACACGUGCUACAAUGGGGUGCACAAAGAGAUGCAAAGCCGCGAGGCAGAGCUAAUC